rnacentral:rRNA from 1 species
AUUGAACGCUGGCGGCAUGCUUUACACAUGCAAGUCGAACGGCAGCGCGGGCUUCGGCCUGGCGGCGAGUGGCGAGCGGGUGAGUAAUGCAUCGGAACGUGCCCAGUAGUGGGGGAUAGCCCGGCGAAAGCCGGAUUAAUACCGCAUACGACCUGAGGGUGAAAGCGGGGGACCGAAAGGCCUCGCGCUAUUGGAGCGGCCGAUGUCGGAUUAGCUAGUUGGUGGGGUAAGGGCUUACCAAGGCGACGAUCCGUAGCUGGUCUGAGAGGACGACCAGCCACACUGGGACUGAGACACGGCCCAGACUCCUACGGGAGGCAGCAGUGGGGAAUGUUGGACAAUGGGGGCAACCCUGAUCCAGCCAUGCCGCGUGCGGGAAGAAGGCCUUCGGGUUGUAAACCGCUUUUGUUCGGGAAGAAAUCCUCUGGGCUAAUACCCCGGGGGGAUGACGGUACCGGAAGAAUAAGCACCGGCUAACUACGUG